UCAAGUUUUCUUUAAAUCGUAGUUUUGAAUAGUUCUUCUCGAUGGAUCAUAAUGCGAAUAAACCACUGGCGAAUUGGAUAUAGUAUAAAUAGCGUAUGCUUAUUUGCUUGAUCAUCAAAUCCCAUUUAGCUCUCGAUUCAAUCAAACAUAAUAUUUUUUUGCCUUUUCUGUCUCAAUCAGAACAAAAAUGUUUAAAUGGAGAAUUCUCUUCGUCUUGCUUCUAACGGUUGCGGUCGCAUUUUCGCAAAGAAGAUUUUUGGGAAGAAGACGCUUUAGAGGCCACGGUUAUCCUGGGUUUGUACCAGUUGCACCUGCAUUCGUACCAAUUGCACCUGCAUAUGCAUUUGGGCCAGGAUUCUAUGGUUAAGAUGAAUUAAACUGUACAUAAUUACCGCUAAGCCAUAUCAUAUUAUUUAUAAUGCAAUAAAUUACAUUAAAAAGCGAAAUAAGAAAUUGAAUAUUCACGUGGCC